rnacentral:rRNA from 1 species
GUGGCGAACGGGUGAGUAACACGUGAGCAAUCUGCCCUUGACUCUGGGAUAACUGCGGGAAACUGUAGCUAAUACCGGAUACUUUCCUCGCUGGGCAUCCAGCGGGGAAGAAAGAAUUUCGGUCAAGGAUGAGCUCGCGGCCUAUCAGCUAGUUGGUGAGGUAAAGGCUCACCAAGGCGACGACGGGUAGCCGGCCUGAGAGGGUGACCGGCCACACUGGAACUGAGACACGGUCCAGACUCCUACGGGAGUCAGCAGUGGGGAAUAUUGCACAAUGGGCGAAAGCCUGAUGCAGCAACGCCGCGUGAGGGAUGAAGGCCUUCGGGUUGUAAACCUCUUUUAGCAGGGAAGAAGCGAAAGUGACGGUACCUGCAGAAAAAGCACCGGCUAACUACGUGCCAGCAGCCGCGGUAAUACGUAGGGUGCAAGCGUUGUCCGGAAUUAUUGGGCGUAAAGAGCUCGUAGGCGGUUUGUCACGUCUGCUGUGAAAAUCCGAGGCUCAACCUCGGACUUGCAGUGGGUACGGGCAGGCUAGAGUGCGGUAGGGGAGAAGGGAAUUCCUGGUGUAGCGGUGGAAUGCGCAGAUAUCAGGAGGAACACCAAUGGCGAAGGCACUUCUCUGGGCCGUAACUGACGCUGAGGAGCGAAAGCGUGGGGAGCGAACAGGAUUAGAUACCCUGGUAGUCCAC